rnacentral:rRNA from 1 species
UACGUAGGGACCAAGCGUUGUUCGGAUUUACUGGGCGUAAAGGGCGCGUAGGCGGCAAUUCAAGUCAUCUGUGAAAUCUCCGGGCUUAACUCGGAACGGUCAGAUGAUACUGCUUUGCUAGAGUGCGGAAGGGGCAAUCGGAAUUCUUGGUGUAGCGGUGAAAUGCGUAGAUAUCAAGAGGAACACCUGAGGUGAAGACGGGUUGCUGGGCUGACACUGACGCUGAGGCGCGAAAGCUAGGGGAGCAAACGGG